rnacentral:rRNA from 1 species
UACGAAGGUGGCAAGCGUUGUUCGGAUUUACUGGGCGUACAGGGAGCGUAGGCGGUUGGGUAAGCCCUCCGUGAAAUCUUCGGGCCUAACCCGGAAAGUGCGGAGGGGACUGCUCGGCUAGAGGAUGGGAGAGGAGCGCGGAAUUCCCGGUGUAGCGGUGAAAUGCGUAGAGAUCGGGAGGAAGGCCGGUGGCGAAGGCGGGUCUCUGGGCCGAUACUGACACUGAUGAGCGAAAGCCAGGGGAGCAAACGGG